rnacentral:rRNA from 1 species
UACGAAGGGUGCAAGCGUUACUCGGAAUUACUGGGCGUAAAGCGUGCGUAGGCGGUUUGUUAAGUCCGUUGUGAAAGCCCUGGGCUCAACCUGGGAAUUGCAGUGGAUACUGGCGAGCUAGAGUGCGGUAGAGGAUGGUGGAAUUCCCGGUGUAGCGGUGAAAUGCGUAGAUAUCUGGAGGAACACCGGUGGCGAAGGCGGCAUCCUGGACCGGCAUUGACGCUGAGGCGCGAAAGCCAGGGGAGCAAACGGG